rnacentral:rRNA from 1 species
UACGGAGGGGGCGAGCGUUAUUCGGAAUCAUUGGGCGUAAAGGGCGCGUAGGCGGCCCCGUAAGUCUUGGGUGAAAGCCCUCGGCUCAACCGAGGAAUUGCCUUGGAUACUGCGGGGCUCGAGGCUGGAAGAGGACAGUGGAAUUCCCGGUGUAGCGGUGAAAUGCGUAGAUAUGGGGAGGAACACCGGUGGCGAAGGCGGCCAUCUGGACGGCUAUUGACGCUGAGACGCGAAAGCGUGGGGAGCAAACAGG